UUGAUUCCCUCCUCGCUCUCCCUCUCGCACCGAUCCCUUUCCUUUCUCCUCAUCUUCGCCGGCGUCACUCCAUUGCUAUUCACUCCCUCUCCCGAGCCCUCUUCUCCUCAGCCAGCGAUGCCUUGCAAUCCCGAAGCUGCAGCGUCACCUCUCAUCUUCCACACGGCACUGAUUGAUGGGCUCUCGUUAAAACUCACCGACCCUGGUGCCGCUCCGCUAGAUCGUCACGCUACCGCCUUCCCAUACCUAGCCACGGACGCCAAGCACUCGCCGAAAGCACCUGAGCUUCCUUUUCGACCAUGCCCUAGAUCUCUCUAGUUGACCGCUGACGAUUCACCUCGAGUCGGCAUUCUACAGAUCUAUCCUUUGACAUCAUUACAGUGCCACGGGGACGAGGGGAACAAUUCUUGGUGCGCCUGAGAAUGCCAACCGGAUUCAAUUUUAGGGAGAAGAGCACGACAUUGUGACACCAGAGGUUUCCUACUUCCGGUAGCAACUUCACAAAUGGCAUUUUGGAUCUUUCUCGAGCGACUGUGGGUUUGAGUGGAGAGCUCCCUCUUCAUCAUAGCAACCUCUGGUUCUUUCGCCAAGCGAUUGCGGAUCUGAUUUGGGUAAGUUGUGCUAUGGAUUGAUUACCUUAUGUAUUGGAUUAAAUUAAGGGAUCAAUUGAGAUGUUGGGUGGCUAAUUUAAGUUUAUUGCGACUGAUUAUGAAAUUAGAAUUGAUUAUAGAAUGAAGAUUAGAAGUUAAUUUGAUUAUACGGGCAAGAAGAGUUGAUUAAUUAAUAAGAGAUUAAUUGAUUCAUGAUGCCUAGUUGAUUUAAGACAUGGAUUGAAUGAUGUGUUGAUUUGGGUGAGUUUUGGAGAUGAAUCAUGUAUAAACCUAAUUUAAUUAGGGUGUAGUAUGGUUAAGAUUAAUUGGGGGAUUAAUCCAUAAUCAUGUUCAAUUGGAGUUACUCUAAUUAGGUGGGAGAGUUAUUUUAUGAGAUACGAAAAAAUUAAAUAAUAAGUGGUAAUGGAGAAAUAACCUUAUUGGAUAUUUUAGGAAUUUUUAGAAAUUUUUCAGAAUUUAAACAGAGUCUGUAUGACUUAUUUUGAGGGGAUGAAUCAGUUGGGCUAGGAGGAAGUCUGUUCAGAAUAUCCAUUUAUUUAGAAGUUGAUUAAGUAAUUAAGUUAGGGUUUAAUUAUAUUAAACCUAAGUGUUAUUAUAAGAUUUCCUUUUCUACUCAUUUUUGCUGACGAAGACACCCGGUCUCUUCUACCCAAGCCCUUACCUCGAGCCAUCGCCGACCCACCUCUUCUCCUCCUGAUCCGUCGCCGCCACCACUCAAUCGUCGACACCGGCUAAUACAGCACCGAUGGUCGGAGCACAACAUGAAGUUCAAGCGGCGACAUAGCAGUCGCCGUCCGACCGCGAGAUACCGACUCUCCACUCCUCGCCCCAAGCUUUCGAUCAUGCCCUAGAGCCGCUGUCGAGCCGCCCCCUUCUGAUCUCCUUGGCGAUGUCAUCGCCCACAUGUCACUGCUCUUUUUGUCGGUGUGGUGCUACGGCUAUAGUCACUAGUGAACGAUCACGACCAAUAUUUCAGCCACUUAAGUUCUCCCUCUUCCUAAACCAUCACUGUGGCACCAUCUCGUUGCGCCAUGCCCUAAAGUCCCUAUGGUACUUUCUUUAUAUUCAGGGAGGAAUGAUCAUCAUAGACAUCCACUUCUCUUCGAAUUCGAAGAGACCUCUAUUUCCAUCACAGCAGCAUACAUAUUAUGUUCUAGAGAGAUUUCAGAUUUGAUUAGGGGGUGCUUGUUUAGAGAUCAUCGAUUAUAUCUAGCUCCAGCCAUGUUUUCUAGCAGCGGGUACUCCGCCAAUGAGUUAACAGCAGAGUACACUAAUUUGAGUAAGGUUGGUUAGUCCAUUUCCUUAUCAUGUUUAGUAGUUAAUACAAUGGAUUGAAUGGAUGGUUUCGGUGAGUGUGGAUGAUUAUCAGAUUGGGGUGAGUUUUAGUGAUGAUUCAUGUUUAAAGCUGAUCUAAUUAGGUUGUAGUAUGAUUAAUGUUAAUUGGAGGAUUACUCAAAGAUCAUGUUCAUUAUAAGAUACCCUAAUUAGAUUGGGGAUUUUAUUUAGCUAUUUGCUACAUAUGUGAUUAGCUAAAUACAUUAUGUGAUUGCAAGAUUUUGUUUUCGGACGAGCGUCUCGACGUUGGAUUGUUUAACACGAUCUACAGAUAAAGGCGGGUAUUUCUUCCUUAGACUCUUUAAUUCUUUGAACUUAGUGAAUGAUUAUUUUUGAUUGAUGGAUUAGGUUGCUUUAUAUUAAAUCAGUACGUUUGCUGCUAUCCUGCUUAAUACUUAUGCUUGACCCUUGAGAUGAUCUAUUUACUUCACAUAGAGUCUUGACUUUUGAAUAUCUAGACUCUAUUGUGUGUACACAUGUAGAGUAUGUAUUAUAGGGGAUAUUUUGUUGACUGAGUUAACAUGCUGAUUAUGCAUUUGAUGUUGAGUUACACAUGAUUGGUAUGUGUUGUAGGAGUCACCUAGUUGAUUGUCCAUUUGCAUAUUGUAUGUGUACACAUUUCCGGUGUUUGCUAUUGGAGGAACCAUGUUGAUUCUAUCUAUAUUGUGUGUACACGUGUCUGAUAUGUACUAUUAGAGGAAUUAUGUUAAUAAUGUCUAUGUUAAUGAUCUUAUGUGACUGGUGUGAUUUGGCCUAUGUUAUGCCCCAGAGGAGUCCCUGCCCGGAAAACGGAUAACAUCUCCCUUGUAAUUGUGAUAAUAUGAAUCAUGAAUACAACCACAAGAAUUCUCACAAGCUAUAAUCAUCAGCCCACAUGGCUGGAACAUACACAACCACGCAGUUAUAUACACAGCUCAAUCGGCUGGAAUAAUAAGAUCACAACCACGUAGUUAUAUAAUAAAUAGCUCACACGGCUAUACUAAAAACACAGCGAAAAAUAAUAGGAACCCCCAUAAACUAAAAUAACACAUUGCUAGUUGGCUAGGCUUUACAUAACAACCAUCAAUAUCAUCAAAAUUAGCCACAAGGGCAAACACCAAAUCCACGACAAAAUUAUUACAGUACCAAGUAUAUGAACUAAAGGAAAACUAUAAAAACGUAAAGCAAAGUAAACGCGAAAUAAAGAUCGGCUUUUGAUGUGACAUGGGAUCGGCAGACAUGCAUACUCCAAGCGACUCCAUAACAUCUACCUACUACCUGAGGAAAAAAACAAUACACAAAUGCGGUGGUGAGUGCGGGUCACUCAGCGGGUAAUAGAUAAGAUAGUGCAUGGUCUAUAUAAAAUAUGGAGAUCAAAAUAUACAGUGUCAGUAGGGAAAUAAGAACAUGAUCAUAUAUGACAUAAUCAAUACAUCUAAACAUAAUUAACAUAAUGAAUACACAUACCCAAUCAGGAUCUAACACAUAAGGCCAAGAUCGAAAAUGACAUAAUAAAUGCACAUACCCGAAUCAGUUGAACACACAUGAUGAAAUAAACGAUGAACUCACCAGAGAUCAGUAACAGGUCUGCUAGGAACACCUGACCAAUAUAACUGGUGACAUAUACAUGUAUAAUAAAUGACAUGUAAGCAGCAUAAUAACCAUAUGCAACAAUCAUAGCUCAAAAAAGUGCAACAUAUCACAAUCACAUGUAGAUAGGAUCUACUGGAUAUGUAUACAAAUAUAUCUCUACAGAUGCACCGCGCAUCAUAUGCAAAUGUUAUGGUCACCCCCGCCACCUCUCAAGAUACCAUGACCCCUGUAUAGCUGAGAGGCUUGGGUAUGUGACAGUUGUACUAUCCUCUGGAUACCACAAUAGAGUGGUCAAGGUGGACAGUUCACUAUGUAGCUAUCUAGCUACAUAGCAUCAGGGUCCCUGACUACUCACAUCUCUAGCCCCCUGACUACUGUAACCUCCAUAUACCACUACUCAUGAGUGGCAGAGGCUGAUAGAGUAUAACACUGAGUAGCCAAGUGAGCAUGACAGGACUAGUUCCACUACUAGCUACCACUAUCCCACAGUGGUCGAAUGGGUAUCUAACAUGAUUGACAACUAGCUCAUACUGAAAGGGAGCAAUGAUCGAAGAACCAACCCAUACAACAUGGGAGCAAUGGUCAUCAGCAUGCAUAUGUAUAUAUGACUGUCAACUAGCUCAUACCACAAGGGAGUAAUGGUCGUCAGCAUACAGUGCAAUGAUGAACAUGAUGUAGUAAUCAUGAUACUGACAUAAUAUGACACAAUCAUCAUCAAUGCAACACCUCAAUCCACAUAAGUAACUCCAGUAGAACACAUCAUACACGUACCCCCUCUACAACAUAUAAAUUCACGAUCAACAUGAUAACACCUUGACAGAAACUACACAUGUGUGUACUCAUCAUCAUAUGUAUAAUCAACAUGUUAUCUCAGUCAACAAGAUAUCCCCUACUAUAUAUACUCUAUAUGUAAAUAUAUAACUUAUAGAUAUUCAAAAGCUAAGACUGUAUCUAAAAUAAAUAAAUCAUCUUAAAGGUCAAGUACAAGUAUCAAGUAGGAUAACAAUAUGGAUAGAUUUAAGGUAAAGCAACCUAAUCCAUCAAUCCAAAUACAAUCAUGCACUAAGAUCAAAGAACUAAAGAGGCCAAGGAAGAAAUACCCGCCUUUAUAUAACACAUCUCUGAAAGAAUCCCCCACCUCUACGUCACGAUGCUCGUCACUGAUCAAGAUCCUGUGUCAUAUAUAUAAUGUAUCAAAUUAUAUAUACUACAAAUAAAUGAAUCACAUACCAAAAGAAAUAGCUAACUCUAGCUUAAGCCAUUCAUCUUCUUGGUUCCCCUUAGAUCCUUGAUUACCCAUAAACCUUCCAUAAUUGCUUAGAACAAUACAACCCUAGACAUUCCAUAAUAAAUUCUAGAUUAAGUUUAAAUAUGAUUCACCUCUCAACUUCACCCAAACAUAAUAGUUCUAGUACAACACCUAAUAUCUAUAUAGUUUCAAUAAUCCAUCCACAUACUUCUAUGUGAUCUAAGCAAGACAUAAUUCAAUAACUCAUUGGUGUUCCUGAUUGAACAUAUCAAUCGUAGGAAAUUUAAAAGAAAAUCACUAAUGAAAACUCACCCUGAUAUGCAGAAAGCGAUCAGAUGCAUAAACCUCAACAAUAUAUUGUUUUGUUGAUACCAAAACUAAUAGUAAAUCAUCCACUUCCAAUGAUCAAUCCAGAUCCUAAUCAUAGAGCAUUUAGGUCUAUAAAAUCCUGGCAAUCAGAAACAAAACUUACCCUAGUUGACCACCUCCCCAACUUGGAUCUCUAAUAGAAGUAUGCACCGAUGAGAUCAGUGACCUGCUCAGCGAGAUUCCGACAACACGCUAUUUGGAUGCCUCCCAUUAGUCCCGCUUGAAGAAGAACAUUACAACUGGAAAUAAAUAGGCAAAAUCUAUGAAUUCUCAAGGUCUUUCGACGAAGUGUACCUUGGUUAGUCGCCUCCCGAUGGUGGCGCUUGACUCGAAUCCUACUUGUAGGGGUACGAGUCGCAACUUCAAGAAUGAAUUGACGAGAAAGAUCAUCGCUGGUUGAUCUACUGGAAACAACACAAGCAGAGAAAAUGAUGGCACCCUAGAGCGUAGUACCGCCGAUAAUCAAACCCAAGGAAUUGCCAGAAGAAGUGACAAUUUAGCAGGCAAUAGGUUGAACGACGUUGACACUAUUGAGAUCUAGCGGCGACACCCCGGAUGACGUGGUGUGGGAGAGUCCGAGAGUGAAGGAGUGUUGCCGACGAUGGAAAGGAAGAUGAGAGCCUUGCCAUUGCAGCUUGCGGGAAUCAAAAAAAGAGGAGGAUCCCUCACUCUUGAAGCUCCAAGGGUAGACCCACGCCGAUGAUGUCGAGGGAAGAAGAAGAGGAAUCAGAGAUUGCAGUGUGCAGUGAGGAAGAAAAGGGGAUCGCGGAGGAAGAGGAGAGGAAAUGACGUUUAAAAGCUUGGUUACUGUAGCGAUAUUUUAUACUUAGGGUUAAUUUGAUUAAACACUAAGUUAACUCCUCAAUCAACUCCUACUUAACGGUUAUCCCAAACAGGCCUCCUCUGAGACAAAUCAGUUCAUCCCCUUAAACGUAUCAUACGGAGUCCGUUUAAAUCCCGAAAAUUUCUAAAAUUUUCUGAAAUAAUUUCUUAAAAUUACUUCUCUAAUAAUUCUUAUUAUUUAAUUAAUAUUUAUUAGCAUAUCUCAUAGCCUAUGCUUCACACAUGACAUUUGUUAUACAAGUAUAUGCUAUCGGUUAUAUUGCUCAGGUGUUAGAGCAGGUUUGUUGAUGAUCUCUGGUGAGUUUAUUGUAUAUUACACCAUGUGUAUUUGACUGAUUCGGGUAUGUGCAGUUAUUAUAUCAUUUAUUAUCUUGACCUUAUAUGUUAGUAUCAGAUUGGGUAGGUUCAUUUACUAUGACAUUAUGAUCAUGAUAUUGUGUGUUGGAUCCAGAUUGGGUAUGUAUAUUCAUUAUGUCAAUUUAUGAUUAUGUUUUUAUUUCCCUGAUGAGACUGUAUACUUUGAUCUCCAUGUUUUAUGUAGACCAUGCACUAUCUUGUCUAUUACCCACUAAGUGACUCGCACUUACCACCGCAUUUGUGUAUUGUCUUUUUC